GGAGGCAUAGGAGGGUGGGGAAGUAGACGGCACAGUAGUAAGCUCAUGACUCUGCUCCCCAUCUCCUAUGUGAAUGGCACUGACAUCAUCAAGAAUUAGAACAGUCUCAAAUGGUGAUCCCUCUAAAAAUUGAGAUUGUUCCUCGGUGCAUUGCACGGCCAUCUGCCCCCACAACUCAUUCAAUGUAGGCUCAGAAGAAGUAGAAGAUUUGGCAGGUGCCUUUUGUUGUUUUUGUUGCCUUUGAUUUUUCUGUUAUGGCUGCCUGUUAUUGUAGAUGUUGGUAGCAUAAGCUUGAGGCUCAUCAUGAGUAACAGGGUGCUGCAAAGAAGGACAUGCAUCUGUAUAGUGGACACUAGAAGGACAUAUAGCACACAGUCGUGCAACAGAUGCAGAUGGAGAUGCUGGUCUCUGGUUGUAUGCCAGUUGUGUCACCAAACUCACAAGAGAAUCAAGCUUGCUUUCCAAUUUCUUACCAAUAGCUGAUGAAGAAUGGGCAAGCUCAUGAAAUUGCAGCUGUUAUGGUUCCUGAACAGGUGGAGAAGGCAUACAAGAAUUCGGAAAUGGUUGAAAUUGUUGUGAAGCAUCAUGCCAUCCCAAGCUAAGGUCAUUCCAUCCAGGAUCGUUACUGUGACCAUACUGAGCAGAGAAGAAUUUAUCCAAGAAAGUAUGCUUAAGAUCUUCCCAAGAAGUGAUGGAUCCUGGAGGAAGACAAUACAGCCAAUCCCUUACUGCUUCUUGUAAUGAAUGCGGAAAUGCCCUUAAAAGUAUGUCUUCAUCCAGGACAUCUGGAGGUUUCAUUAAAGAGAAUAAUGUGUAGAACUCCUCCAAAUGUCUACGUGGGCAUUCACCUGCAAAACCAUGAAACCUAGGCAGCAAAUGUAUCAGUCCAGUGUUGAAAACAC
rnacentral:lncRNA from 1 species